UACGAAGGGGGCUAGCGUUGUUCGGAAUUACUGGGCGUAAAGGGCGCGUAGGCGGCCUGUUGCGUCGGGUGUGAAAGCCCCGGGCUCAACCUGGGAGGUGCACUCGAUACGGGCGGGCUGGAAUCCGGGAGAGGAUGGUGGAAUUCCCAGUGUAGAGGUGAAAUUCGUAGAUAUUGGGAAGAACACCGGUGGCGAAGGCGGCCAUCUGGCCCGGAAUUGACGCUGAGGCGCGAAAGCGUGGGGAGCAAACAGG
rnacentral:rRNA from 1 species